rnacentral:rRNA from 1 species
AUGAACGCUGGCGGCGUGCCUAAUACAUGCAAGUCGCGCGAACGGACGAGAAGCUUGCUUCUCUGAUGUUAGCGGCGGACGGGUGAGUAACACGUGGAUAACCUACCUAUAAGACUGGGAUAACUUCGGGAAACCGGAGCUAAUACCGGAUAAUAUUUUGAACCGCAUGGUUCAAAAGUAAAAGACGGUCUUGCUGUCACUUAUAGAUGGAUCCGCGCUGCAUUAGCUAGUUGGUAAGGUAACGGCUUACCAAGGCAACGAUGCAUAGCCGACCUGAGAGGGUGAUCGGCCACACUGGAACUGAGACACGGUCCAGACUCCUACGGGAGGCAGCAGUAGGGAAUCUUCCGCAAAGGGCGAAAGCCUGACGGAGCAACGCCGCGUGAGUGAUGAAGGUCUUCGGAUCGUAAAACUCUGUUAUUAGGGAAGAACAUAUGUGUAAGUAACUGUGCACAUCUUGACGGUACCUAAUCAGAAAGCCACGGCUAACUACGUG